ACGAACGCUGGCGGCAGGCCUAACACAUGCAAGUCGAGCGAGACCUUCGGGUCUAGCGGCGGACGGGUGAGUAACGCGUGGGAACGUGCCCUUUUCUACGGAAUAGCCUCGGGAAACUGAGCGUAAUACCGUAUACGCCCUUUGGGGGAAAGAUUUAUCGGAGAAGGAUCGGCCCGCGUUGGAUUAGGUAGUUGGUGGGGUAAUGGCCUACCAAGCCUACGAUCCAUAGCUGGUUUGAGAGGAUGAUCAGCCACACUGGGACUGAGACACGGCCCAGACUCCUACGGGAGGCAGCAGUGGGGAAUCUUAGACAAUGGGGGCAACCCUGAUCUAGCCAUGCCGCGUGAGUGAUGAAGGCCUUAGGGUUGUAAAGCUCUUUCAGCUGGGAAGAUAAUGACGGUACCAGCAGAAGAAGCCCCGGCUAACUCCGU
rnacentral:rRNA from 1 species